UAUAUGCCCACCGUAAAUUACAGGUGUGCUACGCGAUUUUUGCGAAUCUUGCGUUUUGUUCAGUAUAAUUGUGAUUUUCUAGCGUAUGUAAAAGUAAAUCGUGAAAUAUCACUUUGAUAUGCGGUAAAACACCUAGAGGAGGUCACAGACAGUGUGACUUGUGACAGUAACAGUUGUACCAACGUGAUGGAAGAUAGCCAGGACAAGGAGUGGGUACAGUUUAGAGAGGGAGACACCCGAGAGCCAGGGGAGGGUGAAUCACGAGGGUCCCAGGAUUCUGUUACCAGCACAAAUGCACAAGACAUCUCAGAUUUGGAAGAGAAUGGGUCUGACAAAGAAUCUCAAGUCGUACGUAGCAGCAAAACUGAAGAAAAAGACCUGGAUUUGGUGAAGACAGACAGGGGUGACAUAGCUGAGGCUGUUGAGUGUACAAUCCCAGCAAGAAGUGAGCAGACAGCCGUGGCAUCGCCUACAGAAGAAAUUUCAGAAUCUCCUGGUGCAGUCAUUGAUACAACGCAGGUCGAGGUGAAUAUCAGUCGGAAGAAAAAGUCCGUUAUGAUUACAGAGGCGCCUCGUAACGAUAUAGAGCACAAACGCGAGCAUGCUGUUCCUGGAGAGGUCCGUGGUACACAACCUGGUAGAAGCAUUUUGAAGCACUCUAGCGACAUUCAAUUAGGAAGUAACUCUUCUGCCAGUACUUCACACAGAAGUGCUGUACCAGAUAAUGGUCAGCAUUUGGAGUCAGUGUGGCCUAUGCCUGGCAAGUGUGUCUGGGUCACAAAGGCCACGUUUGAUACAGAAGUUAUUCCUGCCCGGCUCCUGGAAGAUGACUUAACUCUGCCACAUCACGAAUACAGCAUGGCUAUGGAGUUUCUCGUGAAUGACUACCGGUUCAAUUGCUACUCGAUGUGCUACCGACGCAUCAUCAUCAUUUGGCUGCUGCUCAGCUUUGUUGCUCUGUUUGCAAUUCUCUUCUCUGGGUUGAAGGGAUUGAACCUGUUUGCUGCUGGUGUCAUCUGGUUGGUUGUCAAUGCUGCAGGAAUCAUACUGUGCUUGUUCGCUAAGCGAAAGUGGGAUCAAGGAAUGGACAGAGCAGUGUCAGCCGUUAACCAGAUACUCGUGAAACAUAGCAUAUUGAUGUGCAUGGAAGACCAGGGCAGGUUGUCAUGCCACAAGAUCAUGCUGCACUUUUAUUACUUCAAUAUCACGGAUUGUGUCCAUCAAGUUAGUAACAUGCUUCUCAAAGGUGAAGUGAGGUCAAAGAAGAGAGUGGAAGAAAACCCAGGCUUCUUUGCAAGAUGGAGCAUGCUUAGAAAGCGACAGCAGAUGGCACCACCAGCAGAAGCUCAAUUCCAACAUGCUGAUGAUGAUGGUACUAUAGCACCUGUUGCUGGGGAAACUGUGGUUGCUAUGGAAGCUGAUACGGAAGCAAUAGUGAGUGAUGGCGAGUCUAAAGUUUCAUCAGAGCCCAAGCGGAUGAUCAAAGCAGAAAAAAUGGUAUUGAAAUAUAGUCAACAUUACCUGAAGUCACUAGCAAGAGACCUGAUCAAUUUCCCUCCAUCUCAUAUUGCUGCCCAGUUUCGCCCCGAGGUGCGACACUGCAGCAAGGCAUACUGCAUCUGUCAGUAUAUAGAGGAAAGACACUUCUAUGAUCAGCUUCCCAGAUCACGGCUUGGUUCUGGCCUAUCGUACAUCGCAGCCUGAUUUCUACUGAGGUCAACCCUUUUAUCAAGAGUAAAUGGUCAGCGAUUAAACGUCAGUGGGAUACAGACCAGAGUUAUACAUGGCUCCUGCUACACCAGUUCUGUAUGGUUUUCGCUAAGCAUACUGAAAGAUUUUAGAAAUGGCUCCUACCACGACGAGGCUUUUUCCUUUAGGAGUAAGGAGCAAGAUUUACUGAGCGAAUCUCUGAGGUACACUUUUAUUAGGAAUAAGAGAAGCAUAAAAUCAUCGAUCGUAAUGUAAAGUAAAAUCAUUUAUAGAUUUGAUUUGUUUUAAUUGUUUAUAUAUAUAUGCACUAUUUGUUGUGAUUUGCACCCUAUGAUAUAAUAUGUAUUAGACCCCACUGAUAUAUUUCCCCUUAUUUUAAAAUCCUGAAAUGAAAAAUAAGGCCUCUAUUCUUCUUUAGAUUUGAAAGUUUACUCUGAUAUGGUACAUUUUAUUUACCACAUAUUCAUUUAGGACUAGACACAAUAAGAUAAUUUACAAAGCAUAAUAUAUAUAAUGGUAAUUUUGACCAUACAUAUCUUGAUUAUCAGAGAUACGUGAUAUUGAUGUGAUGAUAGUUAUUGAAUACUGCUUCUAGUUGGUCACUAUAGGUUCACCAGUAUGAAAGUCCCACCUUUGUUAUACCUUUAGGGGAACCCUAAAUGGGGAAAAAUACUGUGAACUGAACCUAAAAAAAGAUUGCUUCCAUCAGCACGUGUGAUAUAGCAUCUUACCGAUAUAAGCUGUUGUUUACGUACCACUGAGCAUAAUACAGGAUAUUAAUAAUGAAUAAAAUAAAAUGAUAAAUUGAUUAAAUUAAAUCCACAGUGAAUUUUUUUCAAUUUACAGUUUAAUUUAUUAAUGAAAAAUAUUUAUAAAUUAUUUUUUUGGACCAUUAGUGUAUCACAAAAAUACACAAUGGGUUUUCCUUUUUAGAUGCAUUUAGGUGUAAAAUAUUAAUGUGACAUUGCAUAUAUUUUGUUUGAGUUAAAUUGACUAUAAACUAGUGCCGUCUAUAUAUUUGAAAUCAUGUGGUUUUAAUAGCAAUCAGAAACUUGUUAAAUGUUAUAUUAUAAUAGUCGAGUAAACACAAGAUCAAAGUACCAUAAUAGUAUCUCACUAGGGGAUUAAUUCUACACUCACGAGCCAAAAGAAACCACAUCAUACCCAUCGCCAUGUGGUUCGAAAUACUGUAAGGUUCCCUCGUGCAGAUGCGGCAUAUAAUUACGUUUUUAUACCAACAAAAAAGUGUCAAACAAGUAUUAACUGAUACAUAGAGUACCAAUUAAUACUGGUAACAAGCAUAUAAUUAUGGGCUUUAUACAUAGGGAUAGAAUAAUAUAUAGUUUUGUAUGUAAUUUUUUUCGGAUAUCAACAUGCACUGUGUUAUACUGUUAUAGGUAUUGUUCCAUAACUGGAUAGUUAUGUGCAGAUAAAAGCAACUAAUAACUAGUUUUGUAGUAGGGUGUGGCUUAUAGAAAAUUGUCAUCAUCAAUAUGCUGCAUUAGAGUCUAUGACUACAGGUACUGUCAGUCAAACAAGUGAUUAUUAUAGGUUGAUAUAACCAGGGGUGAAUAAUGACAAAUUUGUCAUUAUUAACCCCUGAUAUAACUAUAAAAAGGUGGUUACACUCCUGCUGGGCCUUGGCAUGCACUGCUUUUAAUAUGAAAGAUUAGUUGGCACUAGUAUAUAUAUACAUAUAUGCACGUCCAUGCAGAUCGAUGUAAUCAUAAUCAAUCAAUUUCGUGAGCCACAGGGCUUGCAAUGAAAUCCGAUUUCAACAUUGUAAUUUUCAUGUCGCUGCAGCAAAGACCAGGAAUGGAAAUAGCAUGGUAUUCGAAAUGUAGUAAUUCUCUUUGGACGCAGCGUUCAUUCAGUUGCAUAAAGUUACCAACCAACAUGGCCUACUGUUUCUGGUCGUUUGUGGUAGCAUAAUAUAUGUAGUAGCCAUGUUGGCCAUUGUAACUUUCACAUUAAUAGUACAUUCCAAGAUAAUUUACAACAAGAAUGCAAAUAUUUUGAUGCAGAAUUAUGCAUCCUGUAUGGGUGAAAAAUAAAAGAUGUCAUAAUGUUAUAAA
rnacentral:misc_RNA from 1 species